UACGAAGGGAGCUAGCGUUGUUCGGAAUUACUGGGCGUAAAGGGCGCGUAGGCGGCUUGAUAAGUUUGGUGUGAAAGCCCUGGGCUUAACCUAGGAAUAGCAUUGAAUACUGUCAGGCUAGAGGCCGAGAGAGGGAAAUGGAAUUGCGAGUGUGGAGGUGAAAUUCGUAGAUAUUCGCAAGAACACCAGUGGCGAAGGCGAUUUCCUGGCUCGGUACUGACGCUAAGGCGCGAAAGCGUGGGGAGCAAACAGGAUUAGAAA
rnacentral:rRNA from 1 species